UACGUAGGGUGCAAGCGUUAAUCGGAAUUACUGGGCGUAAAGCGUGCGCAGGCGGUUUUGUAAGUUUGUCGUGAAAUCCCCGGGCUCAACCUGGGAAUGGCGAUGAAGACUGCAAGGCUUGAAUCUGGCAGAGGGGGGUAGAAUUCCACGUGUAGCAGUGAAAUGCGUAGAGAUGUGGAGGAACACCGAUGGCGAAGGCAGCCCCCUGGGUCAAGAUUGACGCUCAUGCACGAAAGCGUGGGGAGCAAACAGG
rnacentral:rRNA from 1 species